GACGAACCGUGCGAACGUUGUUCGGAAUCACUGGGCUUAAAGGGUGCGUAGGCGGGCGAUCAAGUCAGGGGUGAAAUCCUCCAGCUUAACUGGAGAACUGCCUUUGAUACUGGUCAUCUUGAGUGAGGUAGGGGCGUGCGGAACUGAUGGUGGAGCGGUGAAAUGUGUUGAUAUCAUCAGGAACUCCGGUGGCGAAAGCGGCGCGCUGGACCUUAACUGACGCUGAUGCACGAAAGCUAGGGGAGCAAACGGG
rnacentral:rRNA from 1 species